AAGGUCUCCGUAGGUGAACCUGCGGAGGGAUCAUUACACAAAUAUGAAGGCGGGCUGGAACCUCUCGGGGUUACAGCCUUGCUGAAUUAUUCACCCUUGUCUUUUGCGUACUUCUUGUUUCCUUGGUGGGUUCGCCCACCACUAGGACAAACAUAAACCUUUUGUAAUUGCAAUCAGCGUCAGUAACAAAUUAAUAAUUACAACUUUCAACAACGGAUCUCUUGGUUCUGGCAUCGAUGAAGAACGCAGCGAAAUGCGAUAAGUAGUGUGAAUUGCAGAAUUCAGUGAAUCAUCGAAUCUUUGAACGCACAUUGCGCCCUUUGGUAUUCCAAAGGGCAUGCCUGUUCGAGCGUCAUUUGUACCCUCAAGCUUUGCUUGGUGUUGGGCGUCUUGUCUCUAGCUUUGCUGGAGACUCGCCUCAAAGUAAUUGGCAGCCGGCCUACUGGUUUCGGAGCGCAGCACAAGUCGCACUCUCUAUCAGCAAAGGUCUAGCAUCCAUUAAGCCUUUUUUUCAACUUUUGACCUCGGAUCAGGUAGGGAUACCCGCUGAACUUAA
rnacentral:rRNA from 1 species